AAUAAGUGCAGUUUUGUACUAUUCAUGUUCAACGUUUGACCGUCCGUCUUAUUUGAAAAAUUUGUGAAAAAAUUAAAAACAUUUAGUCACACAUAAAGUACUAUUCAUGUUUUAUCAUCUAAUAGCAAUAAAAAUACUAAUUAUAAAAAAUUUUCAAAUAAGACGGACGGUCAAACGUUGAACAUGAAUAGUGCAAAACUGCACUUAUU
rnacentral:pre_miRNA from 1 species